rnacentral:lncRNA from 1 species
GUAGUGGGCCGCCCAUAGUCAGGGGGAAUUUAUUGCGAAGGGUAGUGGAGCGAAAUCGUGGCUAUCGCCGUAGCUCGCCACGUAGAGCCUGUUGCAGGUAGUGGAGCGGCGUCCGUUGCCGCUAGUUGUCAGGGAGUAGUGGAGUCACGCAGCACCUGUCGCAGGGAGUGGAGCAGAAUCAUGGCCGUUGAUACAGCCUGUCAGAGAGUAAUGGGGUCGCGCAGGGUCCGCCGCAGGGAGUGGAGCAGGGCUGCGACCGUUACUGCGGCCUGUCAGGGGUGAUGGAGCAGUGCGAAAUCCAUUGUAGGAAGUGGAGCAGGGCCGCCAGGGGGCGCAGAUCUAUCGGCUGAAGCUCGGCAGC